AGGUUACUGAAACUGCUAAAGCGAAACCACAGAUCGCAAAAGCCGGGUAAGGCAGGACUAUAGUACUUUUCUCCGAGCUUUGUUUCUUAACACAAGCCACCUGGAUCCCAUCACUCGAGUCUGAUUUCACUGGCCUCUAGCGCAGCCUGCGAACCACGUGUUUUAAAAACUCCUCCGUUUUUGGUGACAAGGAAUGAGAUCCAAAGCUGACUAAUAGCCUACAGGAGGAGGUGCACAGGCCCUGUUCAUUUUUGGUCAAUGCCCACAUCUUGAGAUGUGUGAGGACUCCAAGGUGUCAUCCUGAGAUAGUGAUCUGCACCUGAUUUUGCACUUAUGAAGCUGACUUGCUGUACAUAAGCAAAUUCUGCUGCUAGGGAAAAAAAAUUAAUGCUGAAUUCAGAUGGUCCCAUUAUGGAAACUGAAAUCUAAGAUGGUAAUAGAGUGAGUGACUCCAAUCCUGGAGUGACAGAAUCAUGAAAUACAAGAGGAAAUAAUAUUCUGGGAUCCAAC